rnacentral:rRNA from 1 species
UGUCUUUUGGUAACGGAACACUGCAUCUCAUCGGCGAACGAAAGGCUGCCUCUGGCACGUUCAGUGUCCCCCUUGUAAUUUGUAGAAGGGACCUCUGGGUCUGGCUCUGGGCUAUGCUGCUGGAAACAGAACGCCUCAAAGGGGGCGACUCCCUUGCGAUGAGAUGUCCCAGACCUUUGUGAAGUUCCCUCGAAGAGUCGAGUUGUUUGGGAAUGCAGCUCUAAUUGGGUGGUAAAUUCCAUCUAAAGCUAAAUAUUGGCGAGAGACCGAUAGCGAACAAGUACCGUGAGGGAAAGAUGAAAAGAACUUUGAAAAGAGAGUGAACAAUUCCUUGAAUUUGUUAAAGGGAAACGACUGGAGACCAAACUUGGUGUUUUGUAUGUUACCCUCUCGGGGGUGGCCUCUUCCGUGUACCGGCCCGCCAUCAUCUUGAUCGGUAGGAUAAUUGCGGCUAGAUGUGUGUCUGCCCCUCUAGUGUGUUAUAGUCUCUGGCUAAACAGCCCUCUUAGACCGAAGACUGCCGCCUCGCCCUAGGAUGUUGACUCCAGGCUCUUCACGCUCCCGACUUGAAGAAAUGCCACUAAACGACCCGUCUUGAAACACGGACCACAGUGUCUCUU